rnacentral:pre_miRNA from 1 species
AAUAAGAUAAUUUUUUAGUUUUUCGAUACGACUCUUCGUCUUAUUUGAAUUUUUUUUGCAAUUAAUUUUUUUAUUCUUACUAGAUGAUAAAGCAUGAAUAGUACUUUAUGUGUGAUUAAUUUUUUUAAGUUUUUAUACAAAUUUUUUAAAUAAGACGAAUAGGCAAACGUUGAAUACGGAAAAAC